rnacentral:rRNA from 1 species
AGCCAGACUCCUACGGGAGGCAGCAGUGGGGAAUAUUGCACAAUGGGGGAAACCCUGAUGCAGCGACGCCGCGUGAGUGAAGAAGUAUUUCGGUAUGUAAGGCUCUAUCAGCAGGGAAGAAAAUGACGGUACCUGACUAAGAAGCCCCGGCUAACUACGUGCCAGCAGCCGCGGUAAUACGUAGGGGGCAAGCGUUAUCCGGAUUUACUGGGUGUAAAGGGAGCGUAGACGGCAUGGCAAGUCAGAUGUGAAAGCCCGGGGCUCAACCCCGGGACUGCAUUUGAAACUGUCAGGCUGGAGUGCAGGAGAGGUAAGUGGAAUUCCUAGUGUAGCGGUGAAAUGCGUAGAUAUUAGGAGGAACACCAGUGGCGAAGGCGGCUUACUGGACUGUAACUGACGUUGAGGCUCGAAAGCGUGGGGAGCAAACAGGAUUAGAUACCCUCGUA